AGGAUGAACGCUGGCGGCGUGCUUAACACAUGCAAGUCGAACGAUGAAGGCUGGAGCUUGCUCUGGCUGGAUUAGUGGCGAACGGGUGAGUAACACGUGAGUAACCUGCCCCAGACUCUGGGAUAAGCGCUGGAAACGCGUCUAAUACCGGAUACGAGCUUCCACCGCAUGGUGAGGAGCUGGAAAGAAUUUCGGCUGGGAUGGACUCGCGGCCUAUCAGCUUGUUGGUGAGGUAAUGGCUACACCGAAGGCGACGGACGGGUAGCCGGCCUGGAGAGGGUGACCGGCCACACGUGGGACUGAGACACGGCCCAGACUCCGUACGGGAGCAGCGAGUGGGAAUAGUGCACGAAGUGGACGCAAGCC
rnacentral:rRNA from 1 species